rnacentral:rRNA from 1 species
GGCGCAAGCCUGAUCCAGCAAUGCCGCGUGCAGGAAGAAGGCCUUCGGGUUGUAAACUGCUUUUGUACGGAACGAAACGGUCCGGGUUAAUACCCUGGGCUAAUGACGGUACCGUAAGAAUAAGCACCGGCUAACUACGUGCCAGCAGCCGCGGUAAUACGUAGGGUGCAAGCGUUAAUCGGAAUUACUGGGCGUAAAGCGUGCGCAGGCGGUUUUGUAAGACAGGCGUGAAAUCCCCGGGCUCAACCUGGGAAUUGCGCUUGUGACUGCAAGGCUGGAGUGCGGCAGAGGGGGAUGGAAUUCCGCGUGUAGCAGUGAAAUGCGUAGAUAUGCGGAGGAACACCGAUGGCGAAGGCAAUCCCCUGGGCCUGCACUGACGCUCAUGCACGAAAGCGUGGGGAGCAAACAGGAUUAGAUACCCUGGUAGUCCACGCCCUAAACGAUGUCAACUGGUUGUUGGGAAUUUACUUUCUCAGUAACGAAGCUAACGCGUGAAGUUGACCGCCUGGGGAGUACGGCCGCAAGGUUGAAACUCAAAUG